rnacentral:siRNA from 1 species
UGGCCUGCGUAGGUGAACUA